rnacentral:misc_RNA from 1 species
CUUUAUGGCAAAAUAGGGAAUGACAUAGCAAUCAAUGUCAUAAUUGCUACUGACAAUUUCAAGUCAUGCUACAUGUCAAAUAUUCUCUACUUCACUCAAAUAGAUGAAAGAUUUUGAAAUUCUUUUUUCUUUUUUUCUAAUUACGAUGACCUAUAUGGACAUUUCCUUAUAAUAUAAUGAUUUUAACAAUUGCAUCUCCACUUUAAUUAUGGUUGACGUACUAGUAAUUAUUUGCUCCUUGGAUUUAGGAUUAGCUAUCUAUAAGACAAACAAGAACAUCCUUUUCAUGUAUAAUAUAGCUGAUUUUUGCAUUUUCCUACACCUUACCAGUUUAAAGCUCUUAUUGUUAGAAUGAUGUGAAGUUUUAUAAGAAAUAUAAAAAUGAGAUGAUGCUCCUUGUUUGCAUGAUGAUCAACAUCAACACUAUAUAAGACAGUAUCCAUUGAUCACAUAUGCACCUACAGUAUUUCAGUUGACUGAAAUUCUUUGGAAGGUACAUUUAUGGCACCUGGUGUAUAGAGUUCCCCACAACCUUAUUCUUGGUCCAUAUUAAUUGGUUGAGAUAGUUUUCCAUUUCAUUAUUGAUCUGAAACGGCAUAUAUAUCUAAUUAAUAGCGUUAUUAUUGUCUCUUUUUUUAUAAGCUAUUAUUGUCAUUUUAAAAUUUAUCUCAUAUUUUAUCCCUUAAUAAUCUAUUUGUUGCACAUAAUUUCUUUUAAGAAAACAACAACUUUGAAACUCUAAAUUUUAGUUACUGUAUUCUAUCACUCAUACUAUUUGAAAUUCCACCUCAAGGAUUUAGAAUACCCAUGACUUGAAGUCUCAUGAGAAAGCAUCCAACCAAAGUUUAAUGUUUUUUAUAUUGAAGCUAUUUUAAAACCCAUCAAAAUUUAAAUGCUAACACAAGUUAUCAAGUUCUUUUGCUAUAAAUUAAAAUGAGAUAACAAAAUAAAACUGAAAUUAAUAUUUUAGAAUUCAUUAAUUCUUAGGAUUACUAAAAAAUAUUUUCAUUUAAAAUGUGGCUAUAUCAAAUUAGAUGAACAGUUAGUAAAAUGUUAUCCAUAUCUAUGGAUACAGAUAAGUAUAUAAAAAAAAGUAUAAAUUGCAAAUUAUCAUAGGUAAAAAGAGUGAUAAAAACUACACAUUUAAUUGCCAAUAGAGUUUAUUAAGAGAAGGUGAGAAUAUUAAGAUUCUGAAGUCCAAUCACUUUUUAAAUCUUUUAAAAAUUUUAUUAAUAUCAAAUUAGUUUUUAGUGACAAUAUUGGAUACUUGAUUAAUAUAUAUUUUAAUUCUUGAAUAUUUAUUUAGUCACAGAAAUUCAUGCAUUGAAAAAAUUAAAAGGCUAAAAGCAUAUAUAAAUAAUGCAGCGCAAUAGCAUGUACCUAGUAAUUAAAUAAAGCAGGAGUUACAAAGAUUCUUUCUUGUACUUGUAUUCUUUUCUUUCUUUUCCUUUUUGUACAAAGGGAAAGUGAUUGAUUAAAAUAUUAUGCAUUUGCUUGAAUAGAAGGAGCAUGGGAUACAAGUGCCGCUGUAAAUGUGAGCUGUACAACUAAUAAACAAAAGGAGGUGAUUGACUUGGGGUAAAAAUAUUAGAGUAUCUAGAACUAAAAAACGAAAGAGCCAUUUAACUGGCCUUUGUUUUUUUCUUGUGUUCAAUCCUUACAUUAACUGCUAUAAUGAAACUCAUGGAAUGCAUGGAGAUACUAUGUUGAAGGAAUUUUGUAUUUCUUCUCGCUGUUCAUAUCUAAAUACCAUCACCUUUCAAUCACCGUCCUUUAACCUUUUUAACUUUUGGUUUCUUAUAUUAUCUUUCCCUUUGACAUAGAUAUGCUUUUAGUCUGAAAAAAUUUUUUUUUGCCACAGCAUAAAACUAUUGACAGUGUGCUC